AGUGAACGCUGGCGGUAGGCCUAACACAUGCAAGUCGAACGGCAGCACAGUAAGAGCUUGCUCUUACGGGUGGCGAGUGGCGGACGGGUGAGGAAUACAUCGGAAUCUACUUUUUCGUGGGGGAUAACGUAGGGAAACUUACGCUAAUACCGCAUACGACCUACGGGUGGAAGCAGGGGAUCUUCGGACCUUGCGCGAUUGAAUGAGCCGAUGUCGGAUUAGCUAGUUGGCGGGGUAAAGGCCCACCAAGGCGACGAUCCGUAGCUGGUCUGAGAGGAUGAUCAGCCACACUGGAACUGAGACACGGUCCAGACUCCUACGGGAGGCAGCAGUGGGGAAUAUUGGACAAUGGGCGCAAGCCUGAUCCAGCCAUACCGCGUGGGUGAAGAAGGCCUUCGGGUUGUAAAGCCCUUUUGUUGGGAAAGAAAAGCAGCAGGUUAAUACCCCGCUGUUCCGACGGUACCCAAAGAAUAAGCACCGGCUAACUUCGUG
rnacentral:rRNA from 1 species